GAUAUCAAGGUCAAAAGGUCGGAAUUCCCAUGCAAGCUUGCCUGCAAAAGGAUUUUCGAUCUUGGGCCCCGCCAAAAACAUGAAUAAGCAGCCAUUUUCACAGAAAAAUGAGCGGAUUAUGAAUGUUUUUGAGGCUUGUGGGAGUGCGAAGCACGGAACAAGCCGGU
rnacentral:sRNA from 1 species